rnacentral:piRNA from 1 species
UGGCCUAUGUCGACUAUAAGACUGUGC